rnacentral:rRNA from 1 species
UCAGAAGUGCGAAUGCUGACAUGAGUAACGUUAAUGCGGGUGAAAAACCCGCACGCCGAAAACCCAAGGUUUCCUGCUCAACGUUAAUCGGAGCAGGGUGAGCCGGUUCCUAAGACGAGACCGAAAGGUGUAGCCGAUGGAAAACAGGUCAACAUUCCUGUGCCCGGUGUGACUGCGAUGGGGUGACGGAGAAGGCUAGUUCAGCAGGGGUUGGUUCCCUGUUUAAGCAUGUAGGAGGAUCUACCAGGAAAAUCC